CCUACGGGUGACAGCAGUGAGGAAUAUUGGUCAAUGGACGAGAGUCUGAACCAGCCAAGUAGCGUGAAGGAUGACUGCCCUAUGGGUUGUAAACUUCUUUUAUAAAGGAAUAAAACGAGGCACGUGUGCCUUUUUGCAUGUACUUUAUGAAUAAGGAUCGGCUAACUCCGUGCCAGCAGCCGCGGUAAUACGGAGGAUCCGAGCGUUAUCCGGAUUUAUUGGGUUUAAAGGUAGCGUAGAUGGGUUGUUAAGUCAGUUGUGAAAGUUUGCGGCUCAACCGUAAAAUUGCAAUUGAUACUGGCGUUUUUGAGUACAGUGUAGGUGGGCUAACUUCGUUGUCUAGGGGUGAUGUGUUUAGAUUUCACGAAAAGCCCGGA
rnacentral:rRNA from 1 species